AUGGCUUCUCUCACAAAUCCAUGGCUUCGUCUCCUAGUGCUUCUCGUGGCCAUGACCACCUUCCUGCAGCAUGCCCUCGCGGCGGCGGCCCGUGGCAGUGGGAACCCCACCGCCGGGUUCCAGAAGGUGCAGCUCGCCGACGGGGACUUUCGGGUGCAGAGCCCGUACAACGUGCCGGUUCCGGGCCACGACUAUUCGUCGGGGGUGUGGCAGUUCGAGGGCUACGGCUACGUGCCGUCGGGGACCUCCGGCGUGUCAGUGAUGCAAAUCCACAACCAGGAGGGCGCUGCGCACUCGACACUCUUGAUGUUGCAUGUCUACGACGGCGUCCUGCGCUUCUAUAGUGGGGCGGCCGUUGAGCCCAACAUCUACGACUGGUGGUUCCGACUCAACGUGAUGCACGAUGUCGGCACAUCCACGGUGGCCGUGUAUGUCGACGGCGAGCGCAAGUUCAGCACCAGCGUGACCCCAAGCGAGUCCUACUACUUCAAGUUCGGGGUCUACAUGCAGCAUCAUGACCAAUCCAGCUGCAUGGACUCACUAGAUAGUCAUGUGUAUCAGCAUUGGGUACUAGCCAUGUGUAUCAGCACUGGCGGAGCUAGGCUGGGGGGGGGCAUGGCCCCUGCAGCACACAACAUAGCUCUGUAG
rnacentral:rRNA from 1 species